ensembl:lncRNA
AGAGAUUUGGGUUUCGAGUCCUAACUCUCGCAGGCGGCGCACAAUUGGCACAGCUUUGUCAGGGUUAGUGGAGGGCUUGGCCGGGAGGGAUAUCCUUGUCCCAUCGCGCACUAGCGACUCCUGUUGCGGACCGGGCGCAGUGCACGCUGACACGUUCCAGGUGUACGGUGUUUCCCCCUCCGGCUGGCUUCCGGGUUAAGUGGGCAUCGUGUCAAGAAGAAGCAGCGCGGUUGUGGACUGUAACUACCAAUUGGAUGAAGGGGUUAAAAAAAGAAGAUCGUUUACCAGCAUCUUUCAGCCUUUUCAUUCGUGUUGUGACUUUUAGCUAGCAAGCUAAUUUACUUACCAGCAUGCGCGAAAAAGCACACGGUGUUUUGACUGGAUGCCAUAGUGUUAAUUUAACGGUACACUAUUUUAGAAGAAUGAACACAUCCGACAUCAGUGGCUGUUUUUUCUCUUCGGGUGGACAGGCUACACCGAAAAUGAGGAUUAUGUAUGUGAGUACUGUGCGCAUUUCGAGCGAAAUUCCUUUAUCAAUUGGGGAGAACAUCCGAUGGGUCUUGCCAGGAAGCUAAUCCUGAAGACGGAUGCAGUACCAUCAUUGACACUUCUCACCAGGAUAUGUGAAACAGUGCAAAGUACGAUUGACUUAAUAUUGGUGUCUGAUAAAUCUAAAAUAUCGCAGAGUGUAGUAAUAGGAUAUGGAAUCAGUGAUCAUUUUAUUACAUUUUGCACAAGGAUUUUUAAAUAUAUAUGUAAGUGUCACAAAACCGUUAGAAUCAGAGGACUCAACAAAUACUGUGUUGAAAAGUUUAGGGAGGAAGAGGGUAAAAUUGACUGGUCACCUGUGCUAGAUAGUGUAGCAGUAGACAGUGCCUGAGAAGUCUUUUAAAUGUAGAUUCCUUGAUGUGGUGAAUGUGACGGCUUCUAUUAGAUGGGUCAGGAUAAAGCAGAGAUCUAGCCCUUGGUUUAUUCAUGAGAUUCUAAAAUCUAUCCAAGCAAGGAAUAAGGCCUUUAAAAAAUGUUAAAAAUGUAAGAACUCUCAAGAACAGCAUGAUUUUGUCCUAUAUAAACGUCACAGAAAUGAAGCACAGAGCAGGAUGGAUGAAGCUAAGGGUGGUUUCUUUGCUGAGAAAAUAAUUGACAGCAAAAAUGACCCUAAAAAGCUUUGGAAAUCAUUUAAUGAACUAGGCUGUAGUAGUACUACCAAAAACAAACUAAACAGCAUUGGAUUGAACGUCAAGGGGGAGGUGGUAUAUGAAAAAGCAGAGGUUGCCAAUGAAACUCUUCUAUUUUUUUUAAAUGACUGGUUAAGCUGGUUAGCAAGCUGCCCACAAGUUCUGGUUUGUAUGGAAGCAACCAAGUGAAGAAGUAUUAUGUAAAGUUAGGGGUUCAGCCAAACACUUUUUCUUUUGCAAAGGUAGCAACAGCCAAAAUAGUCCGUAUGCUGGCAGAGCUUAAAUGCUCCCAAACCACAGGCCUGGAUAAUAUUACUGCAAGGUUUCUUAUAGAUUCUGCUGAGCAAAUUGGCCCUCAUAUUACAUAUAUCGUUAAUCUCUCUUGAACAAGGCACCUUUCCCAGGGACAUGAAACAAGCUAAAGUUAUACCUCUGUAUAAAUAGGGGAUAAAGUCUGACCCUUAGAAUUAUAGGCCUGUAUCUAUCCUCUGUGUAACAUCAAAGAUCCUGGAGAGAGUUGUACAUGAGCAAAUGUAUGAAUAUGUUAACAAACAGGGUCUAAUGUAUGAUUUUCAGUCGGGUUUUAGAAAAACAUACUGAUUGUCUACUUUACGUGACUGACUUCAGCAGGAAAGAGAUUGAUGAUGGAAAUCUGUGGAAUGGUACUGCAUGACCUACAGCAGGCAUUUGAUACAGUUAACCACUGUCUCCUGAUCUCCAAACUGGAAGCACUGGGGUUAAGCAUUAUCCCUCUAGGCUGGGUAAAGUCCUAUUUAUCAGGAAGGGAGCAAGUAAUAGAGGUAAUGGUUCACUGUCUCAAGCAAAACCAAUGAGUUGUGGUGUUCCGGAGGGGAGCAUGCUUGGGCCUUUGCUGUUUUUAUUGUAUAUUAAUGAUAUGAAAGAUGCUUGUUUUUGCUGUAUUUUUCUUUGUGGCAGACUCUACACUUCUGGUGUCUCACAAAAGUAAAACUAUGUUGGAGAGCAUACUUAGCACAGAGCUUGCUGGCAGAGCUUAAAUGCUCCCAAACCACAGGCCUGGAUAAUAUUACUGCAAGGUUUCUUAUAGAUUCUGCUGAGCAAAUUGGCCCUCAUAUUACAUAUAUCGUUAAUCUACCAUUAGCAAAUGGCUUGGAGAUAAUAAGCUUGGAGAUAAUAAUCUCUGCACUUAUAGAAAACUGAAGCAAUUAUUUUUGGAUCCAGACCUAAAUUGUGUAGUUUGUCUGAAAUCAGAGUGGAGUUAGGGGGUGAGGUGUUGACUACUAAAACCUCUGUUAACUACUUGGGAUGUAUCCUUGAUGGAAGCUUGGGAGGUGUGAGCAUGGCCAAUAAAGGUGCUAGGGAAGGUUAACCUCUCUAGGGUACGUGGGACGGUAGCGUCCCACCUGUCAACAGCCAGUGAAACUGCAGGGCGCCAAAUUCAAAACAACAGAAAACCCAUAAUUAAAAUUCCUCAUGUAUGUUACACCAUUUUAAAGAUAUAUUUGUUGUAAAUCCAGCCACAGUGUCCGAUUUCAAAAAGGCUUUACGACGAAAGCAAACCGAACAAUUAUGUUAGGUCAGAGCCAUGUCAAACGAUGUAUAUCUAAUAAUAAUAAUAUAUAAGAUAUAUUAUCUUCAAUAAUGUUCCAACCGGAGAAUUCCUUUGUCUUCAGAAAUGCAAUGGAAUGCAGGUCGCUCUCACGUGAACAAACAUGGUUCUAAAGACUGUUGACAUCUAGUGGAAGCCUUAGGAAGUGCAACAUGACCCCAUAGACACUGUUUUCGAUAGUGCAAGAGUCGAAAAACUACAAACCUCAGAUUUCCCAUUUCCUGGUUGGAUUUUUUCUCAGGUUUUUGCCUGCCAUGUGAGUUCUGUUAUACUCACAGACCUCAUUCAAACAGUUUUAGAAACUGCAGAGUGUUCUCUAUCCAAAUCUACUAAUUAUAUGCAUAUUCUAUUUAUGGCAGAGUAGCAGGCAGUUUAAUUUGGGCACGCUUUUCAUCCAAAAUUCCCAAUGCUGCCCCCUACCCUAGAGAAUUUAAUACCAGGACUAAGUUUUUGGCUAGAAAGUCCAAGCUGCUUGAUAAGGACUCCAUGAGGACUCCAUGAAAGUGAUAGCUACUGCCCCCAUUCAAUGCCAUUUGACUAUACUAGUACUUCCUGAAGGGGAAGCUCCAGAUAGCCCAGAAUAAGCUGAACAUGGUAGUAUUGAAGGUGAGUCCAUAUACUCGUAUAGGCAGGAGCUGCUUCCAGGAACUAAACUGGCUGCCUGUUGAGGCUAGGAUGUCCCAGAUUAGACUAGGUUUGGUUUACAGGAUUAUUUAUGGUCCUGCGCCCAGAUUUCUAAGUAAUUACUUUCCCCGUGUUAGGGAUGCACACAAUCACUGCACCAGAUCAGAUCAAACAAUGCCACUUAAUAUAAUGUUUACAUACCCUACAUUACUCAUCUCAUAUGUAUAUGUAUAUACUGUACUCUAUAUCAUCUACUGCAUCUUGCCAUCUUUAUGUAAUACAUGUAUCACUAGCCACUUUAAACUAUGCCACUUUUAUACACUGCUCAAAAAAAUAAAGGGAACACUAAAAUAACACAUCCUAGAUCUGAAUGAAUUAAAUAUUCUUAUUAAAUACUUUUUUUCUUUACAUAGUUGAAUGUGCUGACAACAAAAUCACACAAAAAUUAUCAAUAGAAAUCAAAUUUAUCAACCCAUGGAGGUCUGGAUUUGGAGUCACACUCAAAAUUAAAGUGGAAAACCACACUACAGGCUGAUCCAACUUUGAUGUAAUGUCCUUAAAACAAGUCAAAAUGAGGCUCAGUAGUGUGUGUGGCCUCCACGUGUCUGUAUGAUCUCCCUACAAUGCCUAGGCAUGCUCCUGAUGAGGUGGCGGAUGGUCUCCUGAGGGAUCUCCUCCCAGACCUGGACUAAAGCAUCCGCCAACUCCUGGACAGUCUGUGGUGCAACGUGGCGUUGGUGGAUGGAGCAAGACAUGAUGUCCCAGAUGUGCUCAAUUGGAUUCAGGUCUGGGGAACGGGUGGGCCAGUGCAUAGCAUCAAUGCCUUCCUCUUGCAGGAACUGCUGACACAUUCCAGCCACAUGAGGUCUAGCAUUCUCUUGCAUUAGGAUGAACCCAGGGCCAACCGCACCAGCAUAUGGUCUCACAAGGGGUCUGAGGAUCUCAUCUCGGUAACUAAUGGCAGUCAGGCUACCUCUGGUGAGCACAUGGAGGCCUGUGCGGCCCCCCAAAGAAAUGCCACUCCACACCAUGACUGACCCACCGCCAAACCGGUCAUGCUGGAGGAUGUUGCAGGCAGCAGAACGUUCUCCACGGCGUCUCCAGACUCUGUCACGUCUGUCACAUGUGCUCAGUGUGAACCUGCUUUCAUCUGUGAAGAGCACAGGGCGCCAGUGGCGAAUUUGCCAAUCUUGGUGUUCUCUGGCAAAUGCCAAACGUCCUGCACGGUGUUGGGCUGUAAGCACAACCCCCACCUGUGGACGUCAGGCCCUCAUACCACCCUCAUGGAGUCUGUUUCUGACCGUUUGAGCAGACACAUGCACAUUUGUGGCCUGCUGGAGGUCAUUUUGCAGGGCUCUGGCAGUGCUCCUCCUGCUCCUUCUUGCACAAAGGCGGAGGUAGCGGUCCUGCUGCUGGGUUGUUGCCCUCCUACGGCCUCCUCCACGUCUCCUGAUGUACUGGCCUGUCUCCUGGUAGUGCCUCCAUGCUCUGGACACUACGCUGACAGACACAGCAAACCUUCUUGCCACAGCUCGCAUUGAUGUUCCAUCCUGGAUGAGCUGCACUGCCUGAGCCACUUGUGUGGGUUGUAGACUCUGUCUCAUGCCACCACUAGAGUGAAAGCACCACCAGCAUUCAAAAGUGACCAAAACAUCAGCCAGGAAGCAUAGGAACUGAGAAGUGGUCUGUGGUCACCACCUGCAGAACCACUCCUUUAUUGGGGUUGUCUUGCUAAUUGCCUAUAAUUUCCACCUGUUGUCUAUUCCAUUUGCACAACAGCAUGUGAAAUUUAUUGUCAAUCAGUGUUGCUUCCUAAGUGGACAGUUUGAUUUCACAGAAGUGUGAUUGACUUGGAGUUACAUUGUGUUGUUUAAGUGUUCCCUUUAUUUUUUUGAGCAGUGUAUUUACAUACCCUACAUUACUCAUCUCAUAUGUAUAUACUGUACUCGAUACCAUUUACUGCAUCUUGCCUAUGCCGUUCUGUACCAUCUCUCAUUCAUAUCUUUAUGUACAUAUUCUUUAUCCCUUUACACUUGUGUGUGUAUAAGGUAGUAGUUGUGGAAUUGUUAGGUUAGAUUACUCGUUGGUUAUUACUGCAUUGUCGGAACUAGAAGCACAAGCAUUUCGCUACACUCGCAUUAACAUCUGCUAACCAUGUGUAUGUGACAAAUAAAAUUUGAUUUGAGAUCAGGUGUUGCUGAUGUGUGCUUAUACAGGUACAGGAGUAAUGCAGAGAAAGGUACUUUCUUGUAUACUGGAGCCUCAGAAUGGAAUGAGUUGCCUCUGCCCAUAAAAACAAUGUUCCUCUCUGGGCAGCUUUAAAAAUAAAGAAAAAAUGUUUGUCUUCUGUACCCAUAUGAAUAACCCCUAUGAUGUAACUGGAAUGAUGAGAGAGAUGUUCUUCUGUUUAGGUUUUAUUAUUUCACUGCCAUACUGUGUUCGAUCUUGUCUAGCCAUCUUGUCUCAAGAGGACCACAAUGGAAAUAAGUCCCAGACUUUAUUGUGUGUUAUCCUCGAUGAUUUUAUUCAUGUGCAUGUAUGGCUUUUUCAAGUUUUAUGUGUGCUUGUUUUUUUUAAAUGGUUGAAUUAUUAAACUAAACUAAAAAAGUGGUUCUUGCAAGCGUUGAUCAUAAUAAGUAUCAGUUUGAUGAGUCUGACACUGUGGCUGUUUUCACUUCUGAAUGCUAUAUUUUCUGUAACACACCUGAUAGUCAUUAUGUUUUUUGUUCAUCCAUCCCUAAAGGACUGCGUGGUCAAGCUGACGUCUGCAUUGGCCACGCAGUAUGUAUCUUGAUACGGACACUGCAGAAGUCACGGCAUUCAUAGUUUUUGCUCUUCGUGGAGCAGCGCAGAGCAGUUGUCAAGGAAUUUCCCAGGCAACCACCGGCAGCAGAAAUGCUGUGAUACAAAAUCAGCUUUCCCUUGGGGAUAUGCUGUGAAGCCUGUGAAGACAGACCAAAGGGGGAUAUGCUGUGAAGACAGACACAACAUACUGCAAUGGGGAUGACUGAAGCAAAAGUGGGUGACUGAAGCCUGCUUGAUUGAAGUGGGGUUUAUGGGUGCCUCUCCCACUCCCCUCCCCAUCAAUCUCUGUAGUUGGUUGCAUUUCCUAAAGUUUAAGUAAUUCAUGUGAUAUCCCAUUUUGUCACUUUUUAUAUGUUUUUGCAUUUGGAUGGGAAAUUAGUUUGACAAAUUGUAUGAAUCAAUGGAGUCCUGCACAGUGUAGGCCGGGCCAGGUGCCUAUAUUAGGCUUACUGCUCUAAUAUAUUUUUUUUAUGUCAUGUUUCACUGUUAUUUCUCAAUAUUUUGACUAUGCUGGCCUAUUUUUAAAUGAUCAAAUACAUGUCUGAUCAACACAUACAAUUCUGAACAUAGUCAUAAUGCCAAUGCAGAGUCACCAAUCAUGGGCCAUGAUGAUGUUAUAUGUCCUCGUCAGAGCUGUCCAAGCACACACGAAGACAGCGUAACAAGACAGAGGUGGAAAAAAACUAAGUAGCUGCAAAGAGCCAAGUUUGUUCAUCAAUCACAUUUUUAUUUGUCACGUGUUAUAAACGAGAACUUCACUCUUCAACUCUCAUCUUAUCCCUUAUCUAUAUCAAUAGACUCGAUUUGUGGAUAAAUCCCAAGCUUGUCCAUGUUUAAAGGCAAAUGUAUUAAUCUAAUGUAAUAUAAGGCAAGUUAAGAAGCAUCUGUAUGAAACAUCUGUAGUCUUUUUUCAUAAAACAAGCGUAAUGUAAAGAGUGAUUUAAAAUGGGCGAUCUGAACUUAAAAUUGGAGAAUGCUCUAGCGUUAUGAUUAGAAAACAUUUUGUAGGAAAACUUCAUGCUUUUCCAUCAUGAUAUAAAACAAGACAAUAUUUUGUCAUUUUGAACGUUGUGAUAAUCUCUGUUUAAACAGUGCAUUGCAUUUUGCCCUAAAAUAUGUUCUGGGUCAAAGAAGAUCAUUUAUUUUCUGAGGAAUGUUAGGUGUGUGGUGGGAAGCUUAACAAUAGUUAUGUUUUAUGAAGAAUUUUGACAGCUUGAAUGUUUUUUUUUGUCUAUGGUCCUCUCUGAGCGCUGUAAGCAAGCUGGAAUCACUAAUAACCAUCUUGAUCCCAAACAUAUAAAACAGUUAGCAGAUAAAAGUUCACAGCAUGCCAUGGCC